rnacentral:rRNA from 1 species
GACGAACGCUGGCGGCGUGCUUAACACAUGCAAGUCGAACGAUGAAGCCGGAGCUUGCUCUGGUGAAUUAGUGGCGAACGGGUGAGUAACACGUGAGUAACCUGCCCUUGACUCUGGGAUAACUGCUAGAAAUGGUAGCUAAUACCGGAUACGACCUUCGGCGGCAUCACCAGGGGGUGGAAAAAAUUUCGGUCAAGGAUGGAAUCGCGGCCUAUCAGCUAGUUGGUGAGGUAACGGCUCACCAAGGGGACGACGGGUAGCCGGCCUGAGAGGGUGACCGGCCACACUGGGACAGAGACACGGCCCAGACUCCUACGGGAGGCAGCAGUGGGGAAUAUUGCGCAAUGGGCGCAAGCCUGAUGCAGCAACGCCGCGUGAGGGAUGACGGCCUUCGGGUUGUAUACCUCUUUUAGUAGGGAAGAAGCGAAAGUGACGGUACCUGCAGAAAAAGCACCGGCUAACUACGUGCCAGCCGCCGCCGUAA